rnacentral:rRNA from 1 species
GAACACCGGUGGCGAAGGCGGCUUUCUGGACUGUAACUGACACUGAGGCACGAAAGCGUGGGGAGCAAACAGGAUUAGAUACCCUGGUAGUCCACGCCGUAAACGAUGAGCACUAGUUGUUGGUCCCGAACGGGAUCAGUGACGCAGUUAACGCAAUAAGUGCUCCGCCUGGGGAGUACGGUGGCAACACUAAAACUCAAAGGAAUUGACGGGGACCCGCACAAGCAGCGGAGCAUGUGGUUUAAUUCGAAGCAACGCGAAAAACCUUACCAGGGCUUGACAUCCCUCUGACCGGCCUUUAACCGGGCCUUUCUUCGGACAGAGGAGACAGGUGGUGCAUGGUUGUCGUCAGCUCGUGUCGUGAGAUGUUGGGUUAAGUCCCGCAACGAGCGCAACCCUUGUCGUCAGUUACUAACAUUAAGUUGAGGACUCUGACGAGACUGCCGAGGUCAACUCGGAGGAAGGUGGGGAUGACGUCAAAUCAUCAUGCCCCUUAUGUUCUGGGCUACACACGUGCUACAAUGGUCGGUACAAUGAGAAGCAAGAUGGCGACAUGGAGCAAAUCACCAAAACCGAUCCCAGUUCGGAUUGCAGGCUGCAACUCGCCUGCAUGAAGUCG